UUAUACCUGACGUAGGGGUUACCGUGAUCCAGAAGGCUGUUCUCCCUUCCAUCACAUUAGGGUUGGGUUGACCCCUGCGAUUGCCCCAAAUGUGGGUAACUCGGGUGCGUAAAUUUUUUGUAGUCGGGGCUGCGUUCGCGCCCAGA
rnacentral:snRNA from 1 species